rnacentral:rRNA from 1 species
CAACCUGCCUGUUACCACGGCACAGCCCGUCGAAAGGCGGAUUAAUGCCGUAUGUGGUCUUGAAAGGGCAUCUGAUCAUGACUAAAGGUUCAGCGGUAACGGAUGGGGAUGCGUCCGAUUAGCUAGACGGCGGGGUAACGGCCCACCGUGGCUACGAUCGGUAGGGGUUCUGAGAGGAAGGUCCCCCACACUGGAACUGAGACACGGUCCAGACUCCUACGGGAGGCAGCAGUGAGGAAUAUUGGUCAAUGGGCGUAAGCCUGAACCAGCCAAGUAGCGUGAGGGAAGACUGCCCUAUGGGUUGUAAACCUCUUUUGUGCGGGGAUAAAGUGAGGGACGUGUCCCUUAUUGCAGGUACCGCACGAAUAAGGACCGGCUAAUUCCGUGCCAGCAGCCGCGGUAAUACGGAAGGUCCGGGCGUUAUCCGGAUUUAUUGGGUUUAAAGGGAGCGCAGGCCGUCCUUUAAGCGUGCUGUGAAAUGCCGCGGCUCAACCGUGGCACUGCAGCGCGAACUGGAGG